AAUAGAUACCCGGGUAGUCCACGCCGUAAACGAUGAGUGCUAAGUGUUAGAGGGUUUCCGCCCUUUAGUGCUGAAGUUAGCGCAUUAAGCACUCCGCCUGGGGAGUACGGCCGCAAGGCUGAAACUCAAAGGAAUUGACGGGGGCCCGCACAAGCGGUGGAGCAUGUGGUUUAAUUCGAAGCAACGCGAAGAACCUUACCAGGUCUUGACAUCCUCUGACAACCCUAGAGAUAGGGCUUCUCCUUCGGGAGCAGAGUGACAGGUGGUGCAUGGUUGUCGUCAGCUCGUGUCGUGAGAUGUUGGGUUAAGUCCCGCAACGAGCGCAACCCUUGAUCUUAGUUGCCAUCAUUAAGUUGGGCACUCUAAGGUGACUGCCGGUGACAAACCGGAGGAAGGUGGGGAUGACGUCAAAUCAUCAUGCCCCUUAUGACCUGGGCUACACACGUGCUACAAUGGACGGUACAAAGAGCUGCAAGACCGCGAGGUGGAGCUAAUCUCAUAAAACCCGUUCUCAGUUCGGA
rnacentral:rRNA from 1 species